CCAAAAAAAAAGGGGUGAAAAGAACACAAAGCGCUACACCAUAGCUCUCUCCAUCAGUGGUUUCGCUCGUGUUGGGUCUGCUAUUGGUUUGUUUUUUCGAGAACUGUUAUGGCUGAUUGAUUCUCUUUAUCUUCUCCUCUUUCUCACUUGAUAUUGCUUUAGAGAGUAAGAGUGAAAAGAGUGAAAAAAAAAAAAAAAAGAUAAGAGAAAAAUUAAGAAUAAACCAUGAGUUGGAUUCCUUGUUCUGGAAAUUCAAGCAGUAAAGCUAAAAUCAAGAAGAAGAAGAAGACCCAGCUGCAGGAAAACCCAGUUGAUCAGAUCAAAGUUACUUCUGGAAUUUUGAAGACAAAAUCUUCUCUGAGUGCAAAGGAGGCCUCCAACAAUGGAGGACCUGAUCAUAUUGCAGCACAAACUUUUCCAUUUCGUGAGUUGGCUGCUGCAACUAGAAAUUUCAGGCCUGAAUGUCUCUUGGGAGAGGGAGGUUUUGGUCGAGUAUACAAAGGGCGUUUGGAAAGUACGAAUCAGGUUGUAGCUAUCAAGCAGCUUGAUCGUAAUGGAUUGCAAGGAAACAGGGAGUUCCUUGUUGAAGUGUUGAUGUUAAGUCUGCUUCAUCACCCUAACCUUGUCAAUCUUACUGGUUAUUGUGCUGAUGGAGAUCAAAGGCUUCUUGUUUAUGAGUAUAUGCCCUUAGGGUCUUUGGAAGACCAUCUGCAUGAUAUCUCACCUGGUAAAAAACGACUUGAUUGGAGUACAAGAAUGAAAAUAGCUGCUGGCGCAGCAAAGGGACUGGAGUAUUUACAUGAUAAGGCUAACCCUCCUGUUAUAUACAGAGAUUUGAAAUGUUCAAACAUUUUGCUUGGUGAAGGGUAUCAUCCAAAGCUAUCUGAUUUUGGCUUGGCUAAACUUGGGCCUGUUGGGGAUAACACACAUGUAUCUACAAGGGUUAUGGGAACCUAUGGAUAUUGUGCACCAGAAUAUGCAAUGACAGGUCAAUUGACGUUGAAAUCAGAUGUUUAUAGCUUUGGGGUUGUUCUUCUGGAAAUUAUUACAGGCAGGAAAGCAAUUGACUGUACAAAGGCUACAGCAGAGCAGAACUUGGUUGCUUGGGCAAGGCCCCUGUUUAAAGACAGAAGCAAAUUCUCACAAAUGGCUGAUCCAGUGCUGCAAGGUCAAUAUCCUCCAAGGGGCUUAUACCAAGCCCUUGCUGUUGCAGCAAUGUGUGUUCAGGAGCAGCCUAAUAUGCGACCAGUGAUAGCUGAUGUCGUCACAGCCUUGAAUUACCUUGCUUCUCAAAAAUGUGACCCAGAUACACAACCAGUCCAAAACUCCCGUUUUGCCCCUGGUACUCCUAGAGCCAAGAGAGAUAGUGAAAAGAAAGCUCAACGGUGGUAGUGGUUAUGAAAUAAGUAGAUUCACAAGGCUAUUUUGUUGCUCAUUGCAAGUUGUUGGGUAUACCUGCGAUCUUUUUUUCUGCUUUGGUAUUGUCCGCUAUGCUUACAGGGAAUGCAUUAAUGGCUGUGGCUGAGGAUGGCAGAGCUCAGAGCGUAUAUAUACCUCAUCACUCUUAUGAAAAUUGAGGCUCCCACUGUUCUAUUGCGACAUGGCCAAGUUGUAGAAAAGCAUGGAAAACCAAGAACCAGAACUCUGAGUUGGUCAUCCAAGUUCCUGAAACGAUAAAUGAAGUCACCUUCAAGCAUGGCAAGCUAGAGAUGUUAGUAGGUGAGGUGAGCAAAGCUACUGGAAGGAGGUUUUUGAUAGAAAAGCACAUCAACAAGUUGAAUUUUCGUUUUCCUCUUAAUAUAAGCUUGUGGUUUGGAUAGCAAGGUAGCAAGUCGAAACUUGAAAGUAGCAAUUUAACUGUCAUCGUAGCCAUGAAAAUUAAAGAAAAGGAAACAUCAACGGCAACGGUGUCUUUCUUUCUAGCUGCUUGAUCGUGUAUUUCUAAGGUGGUGUUUGGUAAUACUUUUUUUUGUUUUUGUUUUUUUUUUUUUUUCCCCUUUUUUACUUAAUUGGGUGUAAUUCAUUUACUUCAAAUGUUUGUUGGUAUUAACCAGAUGGUUAGAGAAAAAUAACAUUGGAUAUAAAUUAUACACAAUUAGGUAGAGAAAAACAAAAAAAUAAAAACUAAAAAUCAAUUACGCUAAGAUGCCAUUUGGAAAGAUGACUUUUUUUUCUUUUUCUUUCAUGUAACUGUGGGUGAUUUGCUUACGCAAACGUUUGUUAAUGGUAGUUUAAAUAUUUUAGACA